rnacentral:rRNA from 1 species
GAUGAACGCUGACAGAAUGCUUAACACAUGCAAGUCUUGGGCGAAUAUGUGCUUGCACCGGCUAGCCAGGGCGGACGGGAGGGUAACGCGUAAAGAACAUGCCCUGCAGACAGGGAUAACAGACGGACACGACUGAGAAGACCUGAUACAGUUGCCUGCACGCACGUGCCGGGCAAUGGAAAGAGAUGCUGUUGGAGAGCUUUGCGGACUGUUAGCUGGUUGGUUAGGUGAUGGCUCACCAAGGCGAUGAUAGGUAGCCGGCCUGAGAGGGUGAACGGCCACGAGGGGACUGAGAGACGGCACUUACGAAUACGGGAGGCAGCAGGGGGGAAUAUUGGAGAAAGGGGGCAAGCCUGAUCCAGGAAUUCUGUGUGCAAGAAGAAGGUUCUCGGAUUGAAAAGUGGUGUCAGCAGGGAAGAAGGAAGUGACGGUACCUGCAGAAGAAGCGACGGCUAAAUACGUG